UUCCCAAGUCACUUUAGCCUGGUUUUCUAAAGAAAGGAGACUGCUGUAAUACUAUCAUCCAUUUCUGCUGAAUUACUCAACCUUAACUCAUGAAUUCUUCAGCCAACAGCGACUUAACUUGAUAUACAAAUUUCUCAUGUUUUCUGAGGAGUUGCAACUGAAGAGAAGAGAAAGACUCAAGAUAAUAUCUUCUCCCUUCCCAUGAAGAACAGUCAAGUGAGGUCCAGCAGCAGCAGGCCAUACCAAGCUAGGGCUGAGCUGUGAUGGAUGUAGCCUGUGGCUGUCCAAGGAAAGAGCUGAGGGUGCUGAGCCCUGAGGGAGGUGGGCAGAAGGAGAGUCAGUGCUGAGGGUGGAAAGAGGGGAGAGAGGCUGAGAAUAAACUGGUAUACAGGGAGAAAAGCAGGGUCUGUCACAGUGGACAUGCAGCAGGAUAGAAAGCAUAGAAAUUAGCAUAGAAAUCACCAAUUUAAAAACAGGUUUCAUUAAUUUCACUGUUCACAGAACAAUAUGUUUAACAAAGAAACUAGUAUUCAGCAUCUCAUUGGUACUAUAUUGGUGGGCUGGGGAAAAAUGGAAAGAAGUGGAUUUUGAAAAAGAAAAUUUUUUUUUCUUUAAAAAAAAAAAAAAAAGUCAUAUAGUAUUUGAUAAUAACAAAGUACAAGCAAAUACAUUUCUGAAACAUCUGUUUCCUUUACAAUAGAUCUAUACAAUAUUUCACAGAUGGGAAAACUGAAUGCAUUCUACAGAUUUUCCCCACAGACUACUUAUUAAAGCUGCUUUUUAAAAAUCCCUUUAAACCAGAGAUAACACAAUGAUGAAGAGCAUGCUAGUUCAGUAGAUCCACAUUUCAGUAAAGGAGCAUCUUCUUGGACAUCUUCCUCACGUGGAAAACAUAGGAUAGAGACGGGCAGAGUGGUGCAAUGUAUCCACCUCCCUGCUCUGCAAAGGGACUGUUACUGCAUGUCUGUGUAUGAAUGAGAGUGCCAGGCAGAACAGCACACAUUAUUUUGUGUAACUUCUUCAUGCUGAAAACCGGAGCUAUGGUGAGAGCGGUGUGUAGAUUUAGGUCAGUUGUAGACAGGACUUUAGAACUGCUGCCUCAGUACGUGCCCUGAAGUACUACUUUUAAUUACAUGAAAAUUGGCUAAGGAAAAUGUGUGAGGUGCACAGAAGUAGAAAGGGACCCUAAUGCCAACAGCCUGAUGUGUAUGCAGGUCGUUAUACUGCAGGGUGUACAGUGCUGUUCUUUAGGAACUGGAAGCUUGUGCGAGUUAGGUGAAAUCUUACCUGCUAAAACAGAGCAUUUCCAGAAGGUUAGUCAGGAAUGUAGAUGAGCCUAGGCAUUGCCUCUGAAUUGACACAAAGGAGGGUGUAAUCCAAGCUGAAAAAACGCAGCUCCUCUAUAACAGUCUAUAACCCUUUAAAUGCGGUUAGUACUAAAUCUGAGAUAAAUGAAAAGGAAGAAAGUAACACAUUUUCUGUGUACAAACAAUUGUGUCCAGAAACUGCAACAAAAGUGGACUGGCUCCUACAGUGUGUUUUAUAAAGCAGAUUCCUAAGGGGCCAUUACAGUAUCAACUGUUUACUGACCUCCAAAUCAUGACACACUCUUGAACUUC
rnacentral:lncRNA from 1 species